GGGGGGGGGGGGGGGGGGGGGGGGCGGGGGGAGGGGGGGGGGGAGGGGGCUGGUGGGGGGGGGUGCUCGGGUGGCGAACGGGUGAGUAACACGUGAGUAACCUGCCCUUGACUUUGGGAUAACUUCAGGAAACUGGGGCUAAUACCGGAUAGGAGCUCCUGCUGCAUGGUGGGGGUUGGAAAGUUUCGGCGGUUGGGGAUGGACUCGCGGCUUAUCAGCUUGUUGGGGGGGUAGUGGCUUACCAAGGCUUUGACGGGUAGCCGGCCUGAGAGGGUGACCGGCCACAUUGGGACUGAGAUACGGCCCAGACUCCUACGGGAGGCAGCAGUGGGGAAUAUUGCACAAUGGGCGGAAGCCUGAUGCAGCAACGCCGCGUGCGGGAUGACGGCCUUCGGGUUGUAAACCGCUUUCGCCUGUGACGAAGCGUGAGUGACGGUAAUGGGUAAAGAAGCACCGGCUAACUACGUG
rnacentral:rRNA from 1 species